rnacentral:lncRNA from 13 species
CAUCAUCCUCGCCUGGGGCAUCAUCCACGCCUGGAGCAUCGUCCGCUGCUGGGACAUUAUCCAUGCCUGGGGCAUCAUCCACUGCUGUGGCAUCAUCCACAGAUGGGCAUCAUCCACUCCUGGGGCAUCAUCCACUGCUGUGGCAUCCACAGAUGGGCAUCAUCCACUACUGGGGCAUCAUUCACUGCUGUGGCAUCAUCCACAGAUGGGCAUCAUCCAUGCCUGGAGCAUCAUCCACUGCUGGGACAUCAUCCACACCUGGGGCAUCCACUGCUGGGACAUCAUCCAUGCCUGGGGCAUCAUCCACUGCUGUGGCAUCAUCCACAGAUGGUCAUCAUCCACUGCUGUGGCAUCAUCCACACCUGGAGUGUCAUCCACUGCUGUGGGAUCAUCCACAGCUGGGGCAUCAUUUACUGCUGGGGCAUCAUCCACUGCUGUGGCAUCAUCCACAGAUGGUCAUCAUCCACUGCUGUGGCAUCCACAGAUGGGCAUCAUCCACACCUGGAGCAUCAUCCACUGCUGCGGCAUCAUCCAUACCUGGGGCAUCAUCCACUGAUGGGGCAUCACCCACUGCUGGGGCAUCAUUCACUGCUGGGACAUCAUCCACGCCUGGGGCAUCAUCCAUGCCUGGGGCAUUAUCCACUGCUGUGCCAUCAUCCACAGAUGGGCAUCGUCCACUACUGGGGCAUCAUUUACUGUUGUGGUAUCAUCCACAGAUGGGCAUCAUCCAUGCCUGGAGCAUCAUCCACAGAUGGGCAUCAUCCAUGCCUGGAGCAUCAUCCACUGCUGGGACAUCAUCCACGCCUGGGGCAUCCACUGCUGGGUCAUCAUCCAUGCCUGGGGCAUCAUCCAUUGCUGUGGCAUUCACAGAUGGGCCUCAUCCACUCCUGGGGCAUCAUCCACUGCUGUGGUAUCAUCCACAGAUGGGCAUCAUCCAUGCCUGGAGCAUCAUCUACUGCUGGGACAUCAUCCACUGCUGGGACACAUCCAUGCCUGGAGCAUCAUCCACUGCUGGGAUGUCAUCCACUGCUGGGACAUCAUCCAUGCCUGGGGCAGCAAUCUACUGCUGGGACAUCCUCCAUGCCUGGGGCAUCAUCCACUGCUGCGGCAUCAUCGACAGAUGGGCAUCAUCCAUGCCUGGAGCAUUAUCCACUGCUGGAGCAUUAUCCACUGCUGGGACAUCAUCCAUGCCUGGGGCAUCAUCCACUGCUGUGCCAUCAUCCACAGAUGGGCAUCCACUACUGGGGCAUCAUUUACUGCAGUGGCAUCAUCCACAGAUGGGCAUCAUCCACGCCUGGAGCAUCCACUGCUGCGGCAUCAUCCACUGCUGGGACACCAUCCACGCCUGGGGCAUCCACUGCUGGGACAUCAUCCACGCCUGGGGCAUCAUCUGCUGUGGCAUCAUCCACAGAUGGGCAUCAUCCACGCCUGGAGCAUCCACUGCUGUGGCAUCAUCCACUGCUGGGACAUCAUCCAUGCCUGGGGCAUCCACUGCUGGGACAUCAUCCAUGCCUGGGGCAUCAUCCACUGCUGUGGCAUCAUCCACAGAUGGGCAUCAUCCACGCCUGGGACAUCAUCCACUGCUGUGGCAUCAUCCACAGCUGGGGCAUCAUUCACUUGGGCAUCAUCCACUGCUGUGGCGUCAUCCAUACCUGGGGCAUCAUCCACUGCUGGGGCGUCAUCCAUACCUGGGGCAUCAUCCACUGCUGGGGCAUCUUCCACUGUUGCGGCAUCAUCCACAGCUGGGGCAUCAUCCACUGCUGGGACACCAUCCACGCCUGGGGCAUCCACUGCUGGGACACCAUCCACGCCUGGGGCAUCCACUGCUGGGGCAUCAUCCAUGACUGGGGCAUCAUUCAUUGUUGUGGCAUCAUCCACCCUUGGGACAUCAUCCACUGCUGGGGCAUCAUCCAUGCCUGGGGCAUCAUCCACUGCUGGGACAGCAUCCACGCCUGGGGCAUCCACUGCUGGGCCAUCAUCCACUGCUGCGGCAUCAUGCACAGAUGGGCAUCAUCCACACCUGGAGCAUCAUCCACUGCUGCAGCAUCGUCCACAGAUGGGCAUCAUCCAUGCCUGGGGCAUCCACAGAUGGGGCAUCUUCCAUGCCUGGGGCAUCAUCCAUGCCUGGAGCAUCAUCCAUUGCUGCAUCACUGCUGGGGCAUCAUCCAUGCCUGGGGAAUCAUUCACUGCUGUGGCAUCAUCCAUGCCUGGGGAAUCAUCCACUGCUGGGGCAUCAUCCACACCUGGGCAUCCACUGCUGGGGCAUCUUCCACACCUGGGGCAUCAUCCACACCUGGGGUAUCCAUUUCUGUGGCAUCUUUCACGCCUGGGACAUCAUCCACCGCUGGGGCAUCACCCACUGCUGGGGCAUCAUCCUCUCCUGGGGCAUCCACAGCUGGGGCAUCAUCCACGCCUGGAGCAUCAUCCACUGCUGUGGCAUCACUGCUGGGGCAUCAUCCACGCCUGGGGCAUCAUCCACUGCUGUGGCAUCAUCCAUAG